GGGCCCGCACAAGCGGUGGAGCAUGUGGUUCAAUUCGACGCAACGCGAAGAACCUUACCCAGGCUCGAACGGCAUUGGACAUCCUGCGAAAGCAGGCUCCCGCAAGGGCCGAUGUCGAGGUGCUGCAUGGCUGUCGUCAGCUCGUGUCGUGAGAUGUUGGGUUAAGUCCCGCAACGAGCGCAACCCUUGUCCGCUGUUGCCAUCACGUUAUGGUGGGCACUCUGCGGAGACUGCCGGUGAUAAACCGGAGGAAGGUGGGGAUGACGUCAAGUCAGCAUGGCCUUUAUGUCUGGGGCUACACACGUGCUACAAUGGCCGGUACAAACCGUCGCGAUCUCGCAAGAGGGAGCUAAUCGGAGAAAGCCGGUCUCAGUUCGGAUUGCAGGCUGCAACUCGCCUGCAUGAAGUUGGAAUCGCUAGUAAUCGCGGAUCAGCACGCCGCGGUGAAUACGUUCCCGGGCCUU
rnacentral:rRNA from 1 species